GACGGACGCUGGCGGCGUGCUUAACACAUGCAAGUCGAACGGAAAGGCCUCUUUCGGGGGGUACUCGAGUGGCGAACGGGUGAGUAACACGUGAGUAACCUGCCCUUGACUUUGGGAUAACUUCAGUAAACUGUGGCUAAUACCGGAUAGGAGCUCCUGCUGCAUGGUGGGGGUUGGAAAGUUUCGGCGGUUGGGGAUGGACUCGCGGCUUAUCAGCUUGUUGGUGGGGUAGUGGCUUACCAAGGCUUUGACGGGUAGCCGGCCUGAGAGGGUGAACGGCCAAAUUGGGACUGAGAUACGGCCCAGACUCCUACGGGAGGCAGCAGUGGGGAAUAUUGCACAAUGGGUGGAAGCACGAUGCAGCAACGCCGUGUGCGGGAUGACGGCCUUCGGGUUGUAAACCGCUUUCGCUCAUGACGAAGCUUUGUGUGACGGUAGUGGGUAAAGAAGCACCGGCUAACUACGUG
rnacentral:rRNA from 1 species